UGGGGAAUUUUGGACAAUGGGCGAAAGCCUGAUCCAGCAAUGCCGCGUGUGUGAAGAAGGCCUUCGGGUUGUAAAGCACUUUUGUCCGGAAAGAAAUCCUUGGCUCUAAUACAGUCGGGGGAUGACGGUACCGGAAGAAUAAGCACCGGCUAACUACGUGCCAGCAGCCGCGGUAAUACGUAGGGUGCAAGCGUUAAUCGGAAUUACUGGGCGUAAAGCGUGCGCAGGCGGUUUGCUAAGACCGAUGUGAAAUCCCCGGGCUCAACCUGGGAACUGCAUUGGUGACUGGCAGGCUAGAGUAUGGCAGAGGGGGGUAGAAUUCCACGUGUAGCAGUGAAAUGCGUAGAGAUGUGGAGGAAUACCGAUGGCGAAGGCAGCCCCCUGGCCAAUACUGACGCUCAUGCACGAAAGCGUGGGGAGCAAACAGGAUUAGAUACCCUGGUAGUCCACGCCCUAAACGAUGUCAACUAGUUGUUGGGGAUUCAUUUCCUUAGUAACGUAGCUAACGCGUGAAGUUGACCGCCUGGGGAGUACGGUCGCAAGAUUAAAACUUAAAUGAAUUGACGGGGUCAUAGCUGUUUCCU
rnacentral:rRNA from 1 species